GACGAACGCUGGCGGCGUGCUCAACACAUGCAAGUCGAGCGGUAAGGCCCUUUCGGGGUACGACGAGCGGCGAACGGGUGAGUAACACGUGGGUGACCUCGCCCUCAGCUCUGGGAUAAGCCUGGGAAACCGGGUCUAAUACCGGAUAUGACUCCAUGACGCAUGUUGUGGGGUGGAAAGCCUUGUGCGGCUGGGGAUGGGCCCGC
rnacentral:rRNA from 1 species